ensembl:lncRNA
AAACAAAAGACCACGUCCUUCAUAUAUUCAGCGCUGUGUUUUGACAUGCUGUGUAUUGAGUUAAACCUCUUCCCAGCUGCCAAAAAACCUUCAACUUCACUUACCUAUGGCACGUAACUUUCAGUGCUCUGAAAAGUUAUCGAAGGGCAGGAGGGCACAGGAAAAGAAUAAAACAAAGAGAUUUUACAGCCAGACUACAGUGAACCUGCAGUAUAGUUAUACUGGUACCAUAAAGGAAUCAUUUCGGAUGCUGCUACUUUUGUUUGCCAAGGUAAAUGCUAUAGCAGAGCUAUGGCCAAAUGAAUUCCUGAAAGUAAUCUUUAUUUGGUAAAGAGACAAACUAUGAUGCUACAGUAAUUUUGUAUUGCAGUACUUCACUAUGCUGUAGUUUCUCACAGGGGAGGGUUGAAUACCUAAUGUUGUUUAGGGAGCCAUGAUAGCUUUUACAUUUUUACAGAUGCUUUCUAAAAUAAGCUAACAUCACCUGCUUGUUUUCCAAGCAUUCUCUGCAGAAUGGCUUUAGUGCACUCUUAAUACAACAGUUUCUGUCUUCAGUAGGAAUCCUCAAAGUAAAUCCUGGCAAUGGGAGAGAAGGACAGAAUAGCUUUCUGUUUCUGAAAGGGAAAUAGCUGUUUGCUUGAGACUACUUACUGGUAUGUGUCCCACUUGAAAUGUUGUGUGCUCCUGCCAAGUUUUACAGGGUGUUUAUUUAAUAUGAGUUUCUGCUGAAUGUGUAAAUUUUCUUGACUACGUUGUGCCUGACAUAUCCAUAUGUGAAACUUAAGAGGGCUGGUCUGCACAGGAACAAUCCAUAAAUGUAAGGAAAUUGGCUGAACACAUAAAGUCAAUACACCUAAAUUACUCUAUCUUAAACUCUCCUGUGGAUAAUUUCUUUCUGGAGUAGAGUGAUUUCAUUUUAUUGCAUAGUAAGCCAAAAGGUAAAAUUACUUCACAACUGAAUGAGAACAUCCACGCUGUGUAACUGACUGUAAUUGAGGGUGUUUGCAAACAUCCUCUGGUUAAUCUACAUUCUGGUUAAACUGAGCUAAGAAACCUGCUUCCCAAACCGUCAUCAUUCAGAAGGCAAAGGCUGCUGCCUUUACCUAUACAGCCAGCUAUCUAAGGACUCUGUCCUGUUUCAGUACAAAUUUAGGCAAACCGCAUUAAUAAUUAUUAAUAACUAAGUCACAUAAUUUGCUUAGAAGCUUUGAAGAAGUGCUCUACUGGCUGAAUUGGUAGAAUAAUGUGCAUUAGGUGAUGUAGAAACUAUCAGCUGACAAAGCAGGAGAUAAAAAAUUUUGUGCUGCUGUGAAUGAAGGUGAUUUUCUUCAUUCUCCAUUGUUCUUUUGUUUUCACUAUCGCCGCGUGGUCCGAACCAGAAUUGACAGCAUCCUCUCCUUAUCAUUUACCAAAAUUCCUUGAAACUCAUCUUGUUCAUUUCGCUUUGGGUUAUCUUGAAAAAUGCUAUUGCAAAUGUGAUUAACUGUGCUCCUAAAACGGAAUUCUUUUCUUCAGAAUAUGAUGUCAUUCUUCAGUGCUGCUUAGAUGUAGGAGAAUUAGAAGGACAUUGAGUGCAGUUAAUUCCAUUGAUUGUUAACAGCACAAAUGACACAAUCUAUUUAUUGUAUUCUUCACCUAGUUCAUGGCCAUAGCCUUGCUUAAAUAUGGUAAUAUUUCUAACACCUACACUCAUCCAGUGAUCAGGAGCCAUUGUGCUUUAGGUCAAAAAUAGGUUCCCACAUCUGACAUCCUGAAUAUGUUGUUUAUUGUUGUUGUAUAUGAAGCAGGUACAGACAGGCCAGGACAAUAAUUACAUUUAUUAAUAGUCAAAUUUUAUCCAGAUAUGGAAUUUGUGAAUAUACAACACUGCUUUAUUGACAUACCUUGUCAAGUGGUGAAAACUGUAAGUAUAAUGUCCUCACUGAAGAAGAUUGAACCAGUGAAUUAUUCUAUUAGUAGAGUACGUAAUUUUUGUACGGAUAAAGCACGUAUUUGAUUUCCUAUGCUUGAAAUCACAUUUUAAAAUACUAAUAUUGCAAUACAGCCAGUAGGUGGCGAUAGCCAUUUAAUUUAUUAAACUAUGUCAGCUCCCCAGCUCACGCUCUAGUGUUGGUACUCACGUUACCUUUGAGCCUUACAAAAAAAGAAAUUAAAAAAAUCACUCUUGAAGAGUCUUUCUGAGUGUACUCUCAACUUUGUAGUUGAAGGAUUUGCUGUGCAGGGAAAUGCAACAGCAUUUGUCGGAGCAGUGUCAGAGUCACGUCAAUUUAAGCUCCGGUUUCCUGUUCUUCUAUAUAUUGAAAGUAUUAGCUUAUUAUGCAUUUUUCCUUACAUUAUAUAUAUGUUUAUGAUGUAUUCUUUAGCAACUAGGAGCAAAUGUUCCCAAGGCCUUUUUUUUUUUUUUUUUUCUGUGGCAUGUAUAUAUGCCUUUGUACUUAGAGUCAGGGAGCCACUUGAAAGCUGUAGAUUGUAUGCAGAUACCCACUGGUAGUAUAGGUGCAAUAUCAUAUAAGAUAAAAAAUUAGAUUUAUUUUCUCUGAAUGAUACAGAAUGUUAUUAUUGGUAGGAUAUGAAGAAGAAAAGGCUUGUGUAUAGUUCUUAAAAGUGUUUAGAGUACAAUAGCAGUGAUAGUUGGGAGUCUGUUUAGGACAAAGCCAUGAGGGGUUUUCUCAGAUUAGUGAGACAUUACUCUUAUAAAAUGUUAUGCAAUGCUAUUUUGAUUAACUGUGUGUUAAAAAAAUCUAGUCCUUGACUUGUCAAUAGAUUGGUUUUGUUUUCUGCAAAUAGACAUCAGGUGGCUCUGCUGCUUGAACCAAAUGUUCAGCUUUAUCUUCAGCCAGAAAUUUAAUAUGAAAUGAGAGUGAAAGAGAACGUCCAUGAAAGAAGAGGAUAAACAGGAGGCAGAUGGUCCAUGUGUGUAACUUGCAUUGCCAGAUAGUGGAUUAAGAUGAUCUUUUUGAAUGCUACUUCACAACCUUAGAGCAACUGAGAGAAGUUAGGUUUCCAUUAGCUAUUGAAUGAGAAAAUUUAUUCCAGUCUUCAUAAGAACAUCUCCCAUUUCCUGAACUAGAGGAGAAGAUGCUAAUCUAAAGAGUGACCUAGAAGCAGUGUAAGUAGAGGGAAGCACAAAAGUGCCAUCUCCCUGCAUGGUUCUAUCAAACCCAUUUACCAUACUGAUCAGAGACUGAGUCAGAGCUAGAAAGCAGAUGAAAUUCACAGGAAAACCAUUUGAGCAGUCAAUAAUUUUGCAGUUCGCAACAAUGCAUUAGAACUGUUUCUUCAGCCACAGUGUUGUAGGAUGGUUCCCCUGACUGGAGGGCUAUGAUGAAUUGUGCUCUGUAUAACAAAGUAGCUCAGAUGCAAGGAGCUUUGCUAUGAAAAGGACAAGUCUGUCAGCAGUUUAUGGGAUCAGAAGGGAGGCCAUGAAGCAGACAUAGUGAUAGGAUUCUGCUACUGGUUGCCCAGACAAGAAAAACAUAGCCUUCCUUAAACAAUUGGAAUAAGUCCCAUAGGCCCUGCUUCUCAAAUGGAGUCUUGAAUCAUUCUGACAUCUGCUGGAUGGACAUCACAUCAGGGAACAGGUAGCUGAUGAGAUUUCUGGAGUACAUGGGGGACAAUUUUGCGGUUCACUUAGGUAGACUGACUAGAAGGGCUCCACUGACCUGACCUUCUGAAUAUGUAAGAGCUGGUACAGAAUGAGAAAGCUUGACAGCAGACUUGGCUACAGUGACCAUAAAAAGAUGUUAAAGGAAUUAAGGAAAGGGAAUAGUAGUCUGACAGCUUAGGACUUUGUGGGCUUUUUCAGGGAAUUAGCAGGAAGGAUCUCGUGAGAGGUUGAAGGGCAAAUAUGCCCAGGAGAACUGGCUAGACAUCAAGGAUAUUCUAUUUAAAUCAGAAUAAAGAAAGAAAGAAAGAGAGAGAGAGAGAGAGAGAAAGAAAGAAAGAAUGGAAAAGCAAAAGAUAGCCUAAGCGUAGAAAAGAAAUGGAUAGAAGCUAGUAGCUGGAAGCGGGGUCAAGCCACCUGUAAGAAAUUAGGAAGUAUCACCUGGGUAUACAAUGAGGACCUCGAAUGGGAUAGGCAGUCUUGUACCAAAGGAUACAAACAAGUUCAGUGUCAUCAUUGCCUUGGUUUUUACUAGCAAGCUCUCCUCUCAGAUUUAUCAGGCUCCUUUUGUUCAGUAGCAAAACUUGAGAGAAAGAGGUAUUACAAAUGGUAAAGGACAAUCAAGUUAGAAACUACUUAAACUGGAAGUACUGAAGUUGAUAGGCCUGGAUAGGAUUAAUGCAUUUCAAGGUGCUGAGGAAGUUGGCAGAUGUCAUUACCAGGUACCUCUCUUUUAUCAUCCAAAGGUUAUGGUGAACACAGCUGUUGGGUGAGUUGAGAAAGAGAAAUGUCAUGCUCGUCUUCAGAAGUGGUAGGAGAAGAGAUCUGGAAACCAAAGGGUGGUGAGCCUUACCUCAGCCUGUUAGAAUCAUAGAAUCAUAGAAUCGCUCAGGUUGGAAAAGAUGUUAAAGAUCAUCAAGUCCAACCACAACCAUAUUACCCUAACUCUAACAACCCUCCACUAAAUCAUGUCCCUGAGCACAACGUCCAAAUGGUUUUUGUAAACCUUUUCCAGUCACAUAAAGAGAAGAAAGGUAAAUGGAAAGUGCUAGUGUGGAUUUAUUGUGCCUGGCAAUCCUGAUUACUUUCCAUGGUGAGAUGAUUGGUUCUAUGGAUAAGAGUAGUGCCUGUAGAUUACCUUGAUUCUAGCUAGAUCUUUGUUCUAGUUUGUUAGAAAUUCUUAUAGACAAACAGAAGAGGUAUGAACUGGACAGCUAGACUACGAAGCUAGUGAUAAACUGGCUGGAUUGUUUGGUUUGAGGUGUAGAGGUCAGUACUUAAAAGUUUAAAUGACAACCAGUUGAAGAUGCAUCCCUCAAGUGUUGAUGCUAGAGAAAUUGUUUUUUAACAUCUUUAUCAACAAUCUUGCUGAUGGGGUAGGAUUUUGCUUUCAUGAACAACACCAAACUGGAGUGAGCAAUUAAUACCCUGCAGGGCUGGGCUGUCACUUGGAGGAACUUUGACAGCUAGAGAAAUGGGGCUGGUAGAGACAUCAUGAAUAUAAACAAAGUCCUGCACCUGUGAUGGAGUGAUGUCGUGCAUCCAUAGGGAUAACAGCUCUGCAGGAAGGCACGCUACAGACAAGUUGAACACAAGGGAGCUUUGUACCCUUAGGUGAUGAAGACCAACCAUCUAUUGGGCUAAGGUAGUAAAAGUAUAUCAAUCAAGCUAAAGGUAGUGAUUAUUCACGUUUCAUGUUUGAGACCACAUUUGAAAUACCUUUCCUAGCUUCAGGUUCCUUGGUACCAGCAAGAUAUUGAUUGACAAAGCGUGAACAUACGCAUGAAAAACUGAUGAGCAGAUAAACUGAUUGUUUUGUCUGGAUAAGGGUAAGGGUCAAUGAGUCUAACUGCUAUCUGAGGAGGCUUAGGAAACUCCAUGCCAGAGGACUUUUUGAAACAACAUAUUUAACUUGCAGUUGGCUCUACUUUGAGUAGGAGAGGGCACUUGGUGAUCUUCAGAGGUCCCUUUCAAUACAUUUUCUUCUGUGAGUGAAUGAUUAUCUUAAUAUGAGGCCUUAAUGCGAUUACUGGCAAGCUAGAUAUGUUUCAUAGAAAUCAUUAAAAUUAAAAAAAAAAAAAAAAAGUGUAAUUCUUCAUCAAAGUCUCCAGGUAAUGAAGACAGUGAGCAGUCUGCAUUUAUUAAUCAUGCUUACCUAUAGCCAAAGCAGAAAAUAUUUCAAAUAUCUAUCAGUGCCCUGAGCACACUAAUGGCUUGAGGGUACUAAUGCCCUGUCCCUGUCCACUGCUGAGGCUCCCUCACAUGGCCAGGAUCACCACGUCAUCCCGGCGCCACUCACCCCUGCCCCAGUAAGGCAGCAGGGAUGGGCUCCAGCUCCCCACAACCCUGCCCUGCCUGACCAUAGUCUGAUGCAGUUUCCGAAGGGCCGUGAAGGUUGCCAUGAGCACCAAGAGUACUUUUUUGUUGUUGGAAUUUUAUUUUAUUUUUUACUUCUGCUGUUGUGGCUAUUUGAGUUUAUGUCAAUAGUUUAAAUGCAUGGUGGAGUAAGAAGUUGAACAUGGCUCUCCCGUGCCCUUUCUGAAGGUUUUAAACACUGAGCUGUAAAAUCAUUAUGAAGGGAAAAGUAAAAUUAGUAUGCAAAGUUUCUUUCUCAGGACUAUACACAGUGAUUAUAUCCCUUUUACAUACUGCUAACACAGAGCUCAUACGUAUACCAACGCUGUGGUAGAAAUUUGUCUUUGAUUGCGUUAAUUUCUUUUCAUUGAAAACUUUGGGCGUUUCUCAGAGAGAAAAACAUCUCAAAUAUAUUUAUGAGCUGGGGAUUUUCUUUCCCAGGCGGUUUGCCUUGCAGAAAAGAUGAUCUCAUUUGCUGAGCCAUGCUGCCAGCAUUCUUCCUUUUCAUGAAAGGAAAUUAUGGCUCCUGUGAAAGUGUCACAAAUGACACGGAGGGUUGGCAGCACAGAAUCAUUAUUGCUUGUUGAGUAAACAUUUUCAAGCAGAGAAUAAAUAAAUCCUCAUCAUAACUGAGGAUUUGGAGAGGGGUAAUAGAGAACUGUAUUAGGACAUUGUUAGCAUUUAAAUGUGCCUGUUACCAAGCUAUAGCAAAAUUAACUACCGUGACUACCAUUACACUGUCUUGCAACACUUGUCUUGUGCCCCCUCCCCGGCGCUCCUUGGCCCCCUAAUUUUUCCCACAGAGCUGGGUGGUGUUUCCCACCCGGCCUUUGCCCCCAGCAGCAAAGAGAGGCAUCUCUGUCUGCUGACUGAGCUCCCUAUAGCCCCUUCCAAACUUGCAGGGAAUUUCUCUGCACAAAGGGUGGCUCAGAGCUGGCAGGUGUGGGGUGCGGGUGGCUAGGAAUGGGGGGAAUGUGAUUAUGUGUCAGGGAGGUGCAGGAGGGGAAGGCUUCUCUUCUGCUGUGUGCUACAGGCUUCACCACGUGCUGCUGACCUCAGCACAAGAUCAGCUCACAAUGUAAAGACCCCUACCUGUCUCAUUUUCAAAAGGUUUUAUUGAGUUUUACUACUCUGAUGGUAUUGGGUAUAUGUAAAUUUUAUAGAAGAGUCACAUGGUGACUCCUACAAUUGAAGUGACUUUUCUUUUAUUGUUCUUUUAUUUUCUGCCCAAAUGAACACGUUAUUUGGGAGUGUGCUAGUGACUGGUAUCUCUGACAGUAUGACAGUGAACUACUUGCCUGACCUUAAAACAGCGACUGCAUUAUGUUGGUACAAGUUCCUGCUAUACUGUUAGUGGUUUGCAUGCUUGAAUUCACACUUUGCAAGGCUUUGAAGAAGUGGCAGUUCACACAAGAUUGCAGGGGAUGAAAGAUGACCUUUAAAAGUCUCAGUGAAGCAGCACAGCAUACUUUCUAACUAGAAUGGAUGUUCAUACAGGCUGAUGACCUGGAGGUGAGAGCACAGAUUUUGUCUUGGGUGCUGGCUAGCAGAAAGAUCUUAGUGCAUGAGCUUUUUAUUUAGGAAUUCAUUUUUCUAGGGGGUCCUUAGGAAUGGAACAUCACUCUCCUUAAGGCGUGUCUGAAACUGCAGCUGUUCAUCCAGUUUAUUGCACUUCCAGAGGCCGAAAGUUUGCUUUUUGUAGCUUAGAAAACCUCUUUGUAGGUUUUCUAUGUCCGGCAGUUGACUGAUGGUCAUCGUUUUCUCCAUUGUCCCAUUAAUGCUCAAAGGCUUUAAUUUGGAGAUAUUUUAUUUUUUUAUUAUUUUAUCUUUAUAAGGAAAAACAAUGAUAGAGAGCUUAAGGCUGUACAUGUCUUUCUAAACCCAGUAGGACCAGUUUUCUGAACUCUAGCUCUGUCACCAAGAUCAUGGGCAGACUCUGGUCCAAAUUUCUUACAGCCAGCUCCCUCUGAAGCAUGUGUCCUGGAUUCAGGCAGCUGGAGUGGUGCAAACCAAAGCAGAGGAGGAGGCUGCCAUCUAAGCAGUGUGAAGUCCACUGCAUGAGCCUGCUCAGCUUGUUUGGUUGUUUUUGUGUUGCUGUCUUUUUUAGUAUUUAUUUUUUUACUUAGCAGUGUCAACAAACCUUAAGAAAACAGACAAAAUAUGUAUCACUUUUAUUCUGCCAGUACAUACAAAAUGCCACCUCUGAAUGUAUUUGUACCACUUGCAAGGCAGCGUACCUAGUAGAUGUCAAUACAAGCUCAGUUGGACUAUCCAUAAGAAAUGAUUAUUGUAUAAUUGUAGUAUCUUACGCUGAAGGACCGGAGUGAUGGCUGCACUCAGUUUUUCAUAAAUGAAAACCUACUGCACUAAAUGAGACGGUUAAUUCACCAAAGCAUGUUUACUGUGGAAUUCACACCCAACUGCAGCAUAUGUAUGUUACUAUUACAUAAUGAAUAAAUUAUUAUGAGCUGCGACCCCCAGAGGCAUCCAGGUGCCUGAGUGUCUCCCCUCCAGUGAGUGAACUGCAGCCACUUUGACUGGUGGUAGCUGGUGCUUAGCAUACCCAGCUCAGAAGUAAGUCUCCAGGCAUCCAUAAGAGGCUUUCCAGUAAACAAGAUAGCCCCUCUAAUGAUGAAUGAGUUCUUCUUUAUUCUUAUGGCUUGAGGUAUUUAUCUUCUUGCAUCACUUUCUGAUUUCCAGUGCUAUAGUAAGACUGCUGUAAUUUGCAAUGUAAGAGUAGUGUGAAGCUCAGUUUGUUCUGUUUAAUAUAGUGUGUGGACUGAAAUUCAAGUAGAUAGCAAUAUUUCAAAGCAAAUAAAUACAUCUGUGUAAGUCAAGUCAAAUGCUAAAGCAUAAUCAGUCUCAAAGUGAAGUAUCAUUUGACCAGUGAAUGAAUUCACCAAGCUGCUAACAGUGAAGAAAUUGGAGUUCCUUGGUACACGAAAGUUUAUUGCCUAGAGAUGAUAGUGCUUGUCUCCCUGUGGACUUGUGGGGAAAAGCCUCACAUCAGCCUCACAUAUGCUAAUAAAGAUCAAUAUUUCUUAUUUUCUCUUCUCAUAGUAAGGAAAUUAAUCCACGGUGUUACUUUAGAAAAAUAACCCAAGUGGUAGAUUUGGGCAGAGAAAUUCUUACCUACACCUCAGUUUUAUUCCACAGGAAGCCUAGUGAUUACUGCUUUGCUAAUGCAUGAGCUUAUUUGGAAAAGCAGCUUUGAGCAUGCAUAUGAAAUGGUAGCCACCCUUUGCCACUGCAUGGGCCAUUCUACUCUCAGCCCUUUGUUUUAGUAAAUAUGUUCCCAGUGGGGCAAAAUUCUUGCCAAGCCUCUUAGAAGGUGUCCUUAUACCCAUACUUCAGUUUUCCACAUAGACUUUUUUUUUUUUUCUUUUUCCCCUCAACUGUUUGUUGUUAAUACAGCUUCAGGUUUCCAUUAGUACAAUAUUUGAGUGUCUCAGUCUAAAGUGUGUUUAUUUUUUCAGGUCCACGUGAAACAGGGAAGGCUCUCUGAUAUUUCUUUUCAGGUCAUACUUUGGUGGGGAGAGAAUAGAAACACAGAGAAGCUCAGAUUCUACAAUACAGUGAGGUGCCAGACUCCUACGUGUCAGAAAUUCCUCCGUGUGUUGGAGGGUCUGAGCAUGGCUUGGUUCACAUCACAAAGAAAGCAUGUGGCAGACUGGGGAAUGCAGACAAUGAAUUGGCCUGCUGUGCCUCCAGUGAAAAUGGGCUUGGAGGGCACGCAUUUAAUGACCGUCCAGAAACAAGAAGCAAAGGCAGUGAGCAGGAGGGUUUGGAAAAGAGUAGUGCAUUUCUUACGUAGGGUCUUUACUGGAUCAAACUAAGGUGUGGCUGUACCUGUCAGCAUGAAUUGUUACUGCACUCGGAAGAGGCUGUUCAUUGGAAGAUACUCAAAUUAAAAACAGAGUCCUGUAUUUUCAAGAACUGCAGGGCAAAGGGAAAGAAUAUUCAUACCAAACAUUUUUAACAUACAUAUAUUGGUAUUAUUGGCCCUAGCUCCUGACUCAGUGACAAAAGCAUAUGUGCAUAAAGUGAUUUCUUUGAGGUAAAGUUCAUUAUUCAGUCUGCGCAUGCUGAAUGUCUUGUGUUAACCUUCUCUUUAAGCUUAAGAGUAGACCUGCCACAGUCUCCAUACAUCUUGCCUUUCCUUUUGAAUCACAAAGGAUUCACUUCACUUAUAACAGCCCGACUAAACGUGGUGCAAUUCCAACACUACAAUAUAUAUAUGUAUAUAUAUAUAUAUUUAUAUAUAUAGUAUAUAUAUAAAAGAUGUAUCAAGUUUUUAAAAGAAAUUUCUGGAAGCUUAAACAUAGGAAUGAAGGAAUGAAGACUCAGGGCUUUGUGCAAAGCCCCGGGGACAGCCUGCGACUUUGCUGGAACAAAAGUUUCACUAUAAAUACAUUGCGAAAAGCAAACAUAAUGUAGAUAGGUUCAUUGUAUUUCUCUUGCACCUUCUCGCUUUUGUUUAAGUUUAAACCAAUCUUUUGGAACUAUGAGUCAUUUUCAGAACAGAGAGUGAUUCAGGAGAUGUAAUCUUUGUGUUUUAUAGGCCAGCAUCAUUAGAUAGGCCCUAUGCAAAUUAACAGAAACGUCGCUGAACAACAGUGACUGGCUUACCAUGUAUUUAUGGUUGCUUCUAACUCUCAGCCAGAAAACAUAAAUGUCUCUCUGGUGGAAACGUGUUUGGUGAGCAAUAACCCUCUCAGUUGGAGAAGAUCCAUCUGUCUUCCCUUCUACUUCAUGCAUCUUCACCACUGAAAAGAAGUUCAAGGAAAAUCAAGUUUCAGUUGUCAAAAAACCUGAUGCUUAAGAAUGAUUCUGUGAAAUAGACCAAAAAAAAAAGCAGCUGAAUAUUUUGUGGCUUAAUUUCAAGAUUCCCAUCGGUGCUAUAAAAAUACAAUUGAGUUUUAACUACUGCCUUCAUGCUAUCAAGAUGAUCCUGUAAAACUUAACUAUUUUGGUGUUUGCUAUUAUCUGAUUCUUUAGCAUGAAGAGGGAAGCAAAAGUAUUUUCCAAGAUUAUAUUAAUAUUUUCUUUCAGUUACAAGCUACAUCAAUUAAUUUCUUUAUAAACUCUACUAGAACAAGUUCCCACUGAUUCCUGGUUACUAUAAACAACAUCUGGGUACUGCACUGGUGCACAAGUUCUGUAAACACAUACUUUUAUAUCCAUCACAUCCUGAUGUUUCACAAGGAUAAAGCUGAUGUUCCCCUAAAAAAUAGAGAAGGCAGAUGCCUGUAGUGAUUUCACCGAAGUUACAACGUGAAGCAUGUGUGAUGUUAGGUACUUUACAGUACUUCUAAAGGGAGAAAGAAUGUGGCCGCAGAAAGGGAAUCCUGCCCGCAUGUUUGAUUCUUGAAAUGCACGUUAAAAGAUUUUUAUAUAUAAUAAAAGGCAAACAGUAAUAGAACCCCGCAGAUGGAGACAACUGUAGCACAGAGAGUGAAAAAUGUCUCACAGUCGGGCAGUGGCAGAACCAGCAAUGAAACACAAACCUCUUGCUCUGCUGGUUUACUCUCCAACUAAUUCACAUAAUAGGGGGUAGGGCUCUUUGCAGUGCUUCAGGCUGAUGGAGGUUACGCCUACAUAAAGUCCACACUUUUACCCUUGUACAAAGCCCCAAGCCCCUUUUACUUGCUUUUGGAGCCCUCACAGAGACCCUGUAGCUCAGAGGGGAUCUGAGUGUGGGUCAAACAGCAGAUAACAGCUGAGAAGGGUUUUAAGAAAAGGUUUCUGGCUGCUUCUUGGCUGUUUGCUUCCCGGCUGAGGAGGGAGCCCAUCUGUGCAAGCCUUCCUCCUUCAUUUCAGUGCUGGCAGCGAGCUGCAGUCUCUGCUUAGGAGCAGUGCCACGAGCUGUGCCUUCCAGGAACAGGAGAGGAUGCAGCGUGGCCGUGUGGGUGUGUGGUGCACCCUUUGGGCCCCAGACGCAGGGACAAGACAAGCACAAAAGGGAGAGUAGGAAAAUGGAAUAUGCACAACUGGUUUAAUGCCAUGGGUUGUACACGUUUCUGAUACCGGCGUUUGCACUCAUUACGUGAUGUGCUUUCUCUUUAAUGGAAUUCUCUUAGACGUGCUGCUGAUAGGCUCUCUUCCCAUCUCUCCUUGAAUUCAAACAUUAUGGCUGAUUGAAAAAUAAGCAUGCAUUUUUCUGCUUUUUUCUUCUUUCAGUGUUUUUUUUUGGUCAGGUGGAAACAAUGAGGUGAACUCAUUUGUGACAGGCCCUUCUUCAGGCCUCUCCAACGUGGUCUGUAACGAGGGCACAGUGGAAAUUCCACAAAGAAGCCCAGAAGCUUUUCAGUUUGGGCAACCGUGUUGUUGUCUGCGUUUUAUUCGCAUCAAUCAGGUUUUUUUCACACCCAUCUUAGCUUCUUAUUGGUACCACAAGUCAACGCUUGCUGGAAAACGCCACCCUUGGAAAACAACCUGUAACGUACGACUGCUGUCUCUUCGUGUAUUUUCUGCUCAGAUCUUAACAUGCGCUUCCUCUGAAGGCCACCAGCGAUAAUAUUCACUCCCUCUCCAGAACCACAAGUCUGAUUGUGGUGCCAUCCAUGUAACAGAAUGCUGUUGGUGUGUGCUGGUGUUCUCUGUUCAUGCACGUAAACCUGGGACUCCCAGGGAACUUAAGAAGCAUGAGCCUUGUUUGUGAAUCUCCAGAUGGGGGCAGACAUUGAGAUGCACGGCUAGAAUAUUAGGCUGGGAUUGAUUACCCCAGUUCAGCUGUCAGGGAGCAGAAAGAAUUAAACCAAAGUCUCCUGGAUCCCAGGAAAAUGGCAUUACCGAUACCUCAACAUUUGGAGCAUCACGUUGUCAAGUGCCGAACAAGUCUGAGACUCAGAACUGAAUCAAAGGAAAAAAGAAGACACCUUUGAAACCACUUUGUAUAGUGAAUUCACUGCCUGCAGCCUAAAGUACCUUGCCUCAGCUUAGAGAAAUAUGGGCUAAAAAGACUCACUAACCCCCUUCCUGUUUUAAAAACCCAUAAAGAUUUCAUAACAGCAAUUGCAGCAUGGAGAGGACGCUCACCUCUUCUUCCACAGGCAAAGCUUCUCAAACACACACACACACAGAGGGUAGCUGCAGUGGCUUUAUCAUGGGCCACUUAUUCCAAGUGUCCCAAUGGCCUGGCUGGGAGUACCAAGUGAUGUCUGUCUCAGGAGUGCAUUGAUCGAUCCACAGGAUUCGGGCCUGGAGCUCAGGGUACCAAAGUCAUCUUUGUGAGGGGAUGUGGAUGUGCUUCAGUUAGAUGUAGGGGGAAAUGUCUGGUGUAGAGCCUCUACUUGGUGCAUGAACAGCUGUGCUGUCAGGUUUUUGGGUCUGAUGGCUGGCUGAGAGAAAAAGCACUUGUGGCUGUUUAGGUGUGGGCUGAAGCUAGGACUGCAACUGGCUUUGUUCUUUCCAACCAGUGAAGACAGAUAAACGUUGUCAUCUGUGAUUCGUCUAUAAGAAGGGCUGUUAAAGCAAUUAGGUUCUAAUUUUCAUUUCACAGUUUCUGCUUGUUAUCUUUGAUAAAUGAAGGAUGCUUAGGAUCAAGACUGCCUCCUGAGAUGGAGGGGCCUAGCCUUGACACCUGUAUGUGCAAGAACAAGCUGAAAUCACUAGUGCAAUGUUGUUUCACAUUGCUGCUGCUCUACCACCUGUUAAAUUGCUUCACCUCAGCGCUCUUCUGGGUCGCGUCCCAGUGAGCACUACAAGCAUAACCUACCUCUGUGCUUGGGCAUCUGGAGUAAAUUCACCCCCCUCCCUUUCUGUCUCGCUUGCAUUCCCUCUUAUGCUCUGCAUGACAAGAUGAAAUGUGCGCUACUGGACUGGAAUAAAACUGAAAGUCACUUGCAACUUUUUAAAAUACGAUGAGGCUAAUGUGGUGAAGGGGAAUGACCUUCUCAGUUGAUCAGACAUCUAGGAAUCUUUAAGAAUGUUGUUCAGCUUGUGCUGAACCCCCAAACACAUCCAUCACCACUCCAAAUCUUCUACUGAUUAAGCUGCUUGGAGUUCUACUUGGCAAUGACAAAGAACAGCAUUUCAAAAAGGUCACCAGGGACAUUUUCAAGUUUACUCAUCUGGAAUAGAUAUGAAUUUAGUUUUGCUCAGUUGUACUGUAUUGAUCACCACAGUGAUUUUAGAGUUCUGCAUUUUAAAUAAUGAGAAUGAUCUUAGGUAGCAGACUCAAAUCUAUCUGCCCCUUGGUGCGCACUUAGGGCAGGGCCAUAAAAGGCUGUUCCUUUGUGGUGGGGCAGGCCGUGGAGGUUCACCAUGUGGGCUACCCCAACAAUUAUGGCUCCUGCAUGCCCUCUCUCCCACUGAAUGCAAGGGACAAUAAAUGUAACUGAUCCCUCCAUGUGAGUGGGGUAGCUUCUUUCCAUUAACCAUGGGAUAAUUGUGUGCACAUUGCCUCAAAAGAGGCAAUAUGCUGAGUCACCAGCCCACCUUGCCUCAUGGUAGCUAUCUAUGCUUGCACGGUGUGUUGUGACUCCACAGUGAGUGACUGUUUUAGGCUGAGGCAGACAAUCUGCCCGAGCUCACAAGCCACAUGCCAAAAUCUUCUUCUGAGAAACAGCUGCAAGGCAUGCUCCCCAUGGCCCAGGAAGCCCAGAGGAAGAACUCCAGGAACAAUUCACAGGCAGGCUGAGAAAAUGGCUCCAUGAGGGAUGAGACUCUGCUGGCAUGAGAGCUGUAUGCAGAGCAAUUGGGUGGUAUUAGCAAUGACGGCCUCACUUUCUUCAUAGGGAUCAAAUUAGCAAACAACUCUUGUGUCAGUACAGCUGCAGUGGUCAUGCAGUGGCAGUGUGUCAGGAGGGCUCCAUGAGAGCACUGCUGCUUCAAAUAUCUGUGGACAACUGAUACACCACUGCUUGGCAGCACUUGUUGACUGAAGAGUGCUCCUCUUGCUUGUGAGAAUGAAAUCAAAACAAAUGAACUUGCUCAAUCCAUUUGCUUUCCAGCCACCACAAACAUUUUAGCAGUUCAGCUAUAUCCAGCACUACCUUUGAUGUACAAUGAAUACAUGCUGGCUUCCUACUGGAGGCCUGAGCACUAAGGUUUCUGCAAAUGAGAAGCUAUUCUACAACGAUAGUGUUACACCUGAGCUACUGAAGGUAUUACCUGGCUAUCAUACUAACAGGUUGCAGAGAAGUCUGUGGCAAAUUCUGUUUUGUAUUUUCUCUCUUCAGUGUUAACUCUGCUGCAAUGGAGCCUGAGGAUGGAGCAUGGAGCAUAUAAACUACAGGAUUGCAAUCCAAGAUAACUCGCACAGUUUAAAAUCCCCUAAGUCAUCAGUAAUAGAAUUCUUGCCAAACUCAAUCACUCCCACCCAAAGCUGAAUUAACUUGCCUCCACUGCAGUAACAGCAAUAUUUUUGCUCUGUCUCAAUACAGACUGAGGGAAAAUGAUGUAAUUGAGUAAAACCUUUAUACUUAUCUGCCUCCAGAGUUUCACUUUGGGCAAUCUACCACUAGAUAUGUAAGUACACAUUUCAAAUCAGUAACCCAAAACUUUCAAACACCUCUGCUUUUGAUUUAGAUAUAUGUUGUCAUUGGCCAUCUAGGUAUUAAAAGACAUUGACUGCACCCAUUCUUAUUAAAAGUUUCAACACAAACUAAGAUAGUCAUGUGCUAUACAUGCAUUUUGGGUCUCAGUGUCCUGAUCUCCCCUCAAGUAGAAAACUGCCUCAGAGGUGUGAAUGGAUUUAUAUGAAGAACAUUCUGUAGAAGCUGAGGUCCAGGUUUAAACAUAGACUUUAAUCGGUGUAGCGGAGAUGGUGGGCAUCGAAGAAGUAGCAUCCUGUUAGCCAAGCCUCCAUGUUUGAACUAUGGCACAGGGCUAGAGCUUCAUGUGCUAUUCAGUUUGCCCAUGGAAAACUGCCCAGACUGCAGACUGUCAGUUUUACAUUCACUUGCAAACAAGUAAGUCAGUGUAUGUAGGAGAAUGGCACAAAGAAACAAUGCUACUCCCUGCCUCAUGCUUGUUGUCAAGUCCCAAAGUACACAACUACCCCACCUUCACAGGGAGAAGAAUAAAUGGAAGUGAUGUCUUACUGGAUCAAAUGUUAUCUUCUUUCUCCUUUAUGUCUUUGUUAUUAGUAAUAAACAAAAGCGAGUUUAGCUUGUUCUUAAAAACGACAAACUCUUCUGUUCUGCUCGUGUCAUCAGGACUCAUUGUUUGGGAUUGUUUACCCUUUGCUAGGAGCUAUGAUGACUUUGCAGGACUUGGAGAGCAUGAAGUGAACUGUCCUGGCUUACUCACUGAGGUGUGGCUGGCACUAAAUGUACAAGAAAACAUAUUUAAAGUAACAGUGCAUGUAAAUCUCGUAGCUCUACUUUUUCACUUUAUCAUCUGAAUACUUCAGUAUGAGAGGAAAAAUGAAGAAUGAUUCUCUUUUUGUAACAUCUGUCUCAGGAGGACACCUUCCCAGUGCACAUAGGACUCAACUUUGAGAUAUUUUCUUUUCAAGAGACAUGGGAGUUUUGAACCAGAGAAAAACAAUUUCUGCGCGAGGUUAACAAAAAUGUACAAUAAUUCUUAAGUCUUCCUGAAGUUCAUAUCCUCAUUUUGCCAUUCCAGGUAAUUUUUAUGGAGGUCUUCAUAACUUGGGAGACGAGAGAUCACCGUCUUUCUGAUCUCAUGUAUUACCUGGCAUACAGUUAGAAAAGUUGCGGUGUUGUCCCACCAAUAACCACCAUGGUUAUGGCUGUCCCAGAGAAUUGUAUUCAGAGCGCUGUGUUCAGGGCAGACAGGGGUGAAGCUGUGAUAUUCUGGCACAAGUUGUUCUUAUUCUUUAGGCUCCAAUUGGAACAGAGCUCUUGGUUAGCCCCUUCUUCUGUAAAAGAGUUUGUACAUCCAGGCCUAAAAUGCUUUAUUAUAUCAUUUGAAAAUCUUUUAAAUUCACUCAUAUGGACUGGAAAUACAAUAAUUACAUAAUAUCAGCAAUAGCACUAUAAUAAAGCAAACUAGGACAUCCAGGCUGGUACACUCUAAGGUUAAACAUGAUAUCAGAAAAUUAAUUUUACAUAGCUUUGCUGCUGCACAAUCCAGGGCAUGGUGACAAAUGGAACAAGGUCAGUCCAGCGGGAAACACCAAGAGAAAUACCAAGUGGAGCCAGGAAAUUGCUGUCAGGCAGCAAUGACAUCAGCCCGCAGCCCUUGCCAGCCUCCCUUGCACCAUGGCCACAGAUCCAGAUUGCUGCACUGGAAAGGGCCGCUCCCUUCCCGUUAAAUCACAGCACACAGGACCAACUCAAAAAUGUUUUUUUCAUUGUUUUUUAGACAAUUUGGAAGAGUGGUAUGAGCACUUCUCAUCUAAUGUUGUAUGUGCAGUUCAUUUGUUUACGUCACCAAAGUAUUCAGCAUUUCAGAUGAACUCCUUUCUUCUUGCCCUACUGUGGUUCACUCUGCAAUUUUUCUUGCUUUCUCCUGAUCCUGUUAAAAGCUCCUGAUCUAAAACAUAGAUUAUCCCUUCCACCAUGUGGCUUGUUACCUCUCACCUUUAUGCCACAUCCACUCCUGCAGCUGUUUCUCCAGGCUCCUUUUGAGAGUGUAUAUAAUAUCUGUUUUCCUGAAUAAAGAAUCUGUCAUAACGGAGGUCAGAAGGAUGAGGAGUCCAAUUGCUAAUUCAGUUUUGGUGCUUUCUUGGCUUGUUCUUUUCAUAAAUAGUAGAAAAUGUUCUUCAAUUAAUGACUGAUAUGUUUUCAAAGUUUAAGAAUUUAAAAAAAUACUAUGUGGGAAAUGGAAUUUAAUCUUCCCAAAGGAGACACUGGCUUUCAGUUUUCAGGUAUUUAAAUAUGCCUAAAAAUCACUGAUGGUUAAAAAGUACUUCAAUCAAGAAUGUUUGGAUGGCUUACAAGAGUCAAACUAGAGGUUAAUUUAAGUAUUUUAAGUUACAGAACCUUCAAAAGACAGUGACAGCUGAAAUAACUGAGUAGUUUUAUGUAGUAAUCAAUACAAUAGCUGGAAAAGCAUGAGAAGGGAUAUUUAUACGUUUCAGAACUCAUGGUAGCUCAGUAGUAAAAAACAGAAGUAAUGUUUUUAUUGAAAGAGAAGUUUUCUUUUCCUCGGGAUAGACAGCAUGCUUUCCAGUACAAUUAGAAAAAAUUCUGUGAAGAUAAGGUACUUCAAUUUUAGCAUGAGGUAAACUCAGCAAAAUCAGGUAAGUUGUCCUGAUUGGGGGUUACUGAGUUAUCUUGGAAUACAGCUAGAGAUCUCUUCUGUUUUUACAUUGGAAUACCUCACAUAAAUUAGUAUUACAACUUUGUUACACUGUAGUGGAUAUGAAUAUGAAAAGUAAAUUCUUUCACUUACUUUUUUUAUCAUGAGACUUAAAAAUCACAGGCACUCUCUUAGAAGUUAUUUAUUUAUUUAUUGUACCUAACACACAGCAUCUUGUCACACACUCUGUCAUAAUUUUGGUGAACGUGUUCCAGACUGAAUUUUGAUGAAAAAGGAAGAAGGAAAAGAAAAGGAAGGGAAGGGAAACGAAGAGAAGAGAAAAAGAAAACAAAGAAAAAAGUCAAAUACAUUGUUAACUGAAAGAUGGUCUUAUUGCUAUAGCUGUAUUUUUGGAUUUGCAAACCCUCCUGUUUUUUUCCUGCAGUUGACCUGAAAGAUCUUCUAUUUGUUUCACUCUGCCUUUCUGUCACUUGUACUAGUUAUAACCUCAGUCUGCAAAUAGCUUCAUUCUCACUUUUUGUCUUUUUCUCAGAUCUUUACUACAUACAGUCUCUGCCUAUUUACAGUAAGGAUAUCAAGUUCAUUCAUUUCUGACAUAGCAAUAAAAUACGCCAUAAAAAUAGACACAAUUUUCUGCUGGAAUUACAUGAGAAUAUUUGAGUGCUGAAUUUAUCUCUUCUGUAGUUUUGAUCAACAUUCUAGAAAAAAUAAUCCUGGAAAAAAUGAGUAGUACAUUGAAAAAGAUAUGGAAAAUAAUUAAUUAAGAACAGAUAGUACAAAUAGAAACUUGUGAGUACAUUGAAAUGGGAUCUUACACCAUGGUCCAUGGUUUAGUCUUCUCAUGCCUUCCAAGAAUAACUUUGAACCCAUGUUCUAAAAAAUAACUCUAAACUGUGCUGGCAUAUUUGAAUGAAAGAUAUAUAGCAGUUUUUGGGGGUUUUGGACAGUCUAGGGUCUGUUUGCUUGCUCAUUUAUCUUUUCUUUCCAAAUUGAAAACCUGAAUUUAUGUAAUUUAAUGUUGCAUUCAUACUUUUAAACCUGAUAUAUAACAUUUAAUUUAAUUUUCUGGAGAGGUUGGACAGCUUUGCCAUUUAUUUUAAACUGCUGAGUUUAUUUGUCAUAAAAAAUGAUUUCCUCCUUUUAAGAGAGGUUAAUAUUAGCUGAAUCAACAUUAGUUUAUUACUACACUUAGUUGAUUUGACUCCAUUUUUUGGGUAAUGUGUAAAUUACCUUUUCAAUGUUAUCCAGCUCAAGUUUUAGUACACUAGCUUUUGUUUUCUUAUAUAGAAGUCAAACUGGUUAUUUAUUCCCGUAAGUUUGACAUUGUUAAAAAUUCAUUUAGUAUUGAUUCAUCCAUAUUUGUUUCAAACAUAUAUUUAAAUUAUGUAAUUUCUUUUGAUAUUGACUGGAGCAGUAAAUGUCAUUAAAAAUUCCUCCCUUCAAAUAGAAACAGCUUCACAGAGCUUGAUCUGCCGUGACACAAUUACAGCUGUUCCAGCUCCUGAGGAAUGUAUUUCCAUUAAAGAGUCAUUAGAUAAAAAUGCACAAUCAGCUCCUCAGCAGGAACAAGAACCAAGACCACUCAUCAAGACAUAGGAG